CAGCCGCCGCGGUAAUACCGGCGGCCCGAGUGGCGGUCACUAUUAUUGGGCUUAAAGCGUCCGUAGCCGGGUUGGGAAGUCCUCCGGGAAAUCUGGCCGCUUAAAGGUCAGAAUGCCGGAGGAUACUCCCAGCCUAGGGAGCGGGAGAGGCCGAGGGGAUUUCCGGGGGAGGGGGGAAAUCCUAUAAUCCCGGGAGGGCCACCUGUGGCGAAGGCGCUCGGCUGGAACGCGUCCGACGGUGAGGGACGAAGGCCAGGGGAGCAAACCGGAUUAGAUACCCGGGUAGUCCUGGCUGUAAACGAUGCGGACUUUGUGUCGGACAAGCUAUGAGCUUGUCCGGUGCCGGAGGGAAACCGUUAAGUCCGCCGCCUGGGGAGUACGGCCGCAAGGCUGAAACUUAAAGGAAUAGGCGGG
rnacentral:rRNA from 1 species